UACGUAGGGUGCAAGCGUUGUCCGGAAUUAUUGGGCGUAAAGAGCUCGUAGGCGGUCUGUUGCGUCCGCUGUGAAAACUCGGGGCUUAACCCCGAGCCUGCAGUGGAUACGGGCAGACUAGAGGUAGGUAGGGGAGAAUGGAAUUCCCGGUGUAGCGGUGAAAUGCGCAGAUAUCGGAGGAACACCGGUGGCGAAGGCGGUUCUCUGGGCCUUACCUGACGCUGAGGAGCGAAAGCGUGGGGAGCGAACAGG
rnacentral:rRNA from 1 species